rnacentral:rRNA from 1 species
CGGUGUUUAACUGGCGUGAUGUGGGACGUCCUACCGGGUGGGCUUAGCCUCGCGAGGGGCGGCCCAACUAAUAUCCCGUCGCGGUGCUCUUUACUGAGUGUCGAGUCGGGCCGGUACGUUUACUUUGAACAAAUUAGAGUGCUUAAAGCAGGCUAUCCUCGCCUGAAUACUGCGUGCAUGGAAUAAUGGAAUAGGACCUCGGUUCUAUUUUGUUUGGUUUUCGGAACCCCCGAGGUAAUGAUUAAUAGGGACAGAUGGGGGCAUUCGUAUUGCGACGUUAGAGGUGAAAUUCUUGGAUCGUCGCAAGACGGACAGAAGCGAAAGCAUUUGCCAAAAUGUUUUCAUUAAUCAAGAACGAAAGUUAGAGGUUCGAAGGCGAUCAGAUACCGCCCCUAGUUCUAACCAUAAACGAUGCCAGCUAGCGAUCCGCCGAAGUUCCUCCGAUGACUCGGCGGGCAGCUUCCGGGAAACCAAAGCUUUUGGGUUCCGGGGGAAGUAUGGUUGCAAAGCUGAAACUUAAAGGAAUUGACGGAAGGGCACCACCAGGAGUGGAGCCUGUGGCUUAAUUUGACUCAACACGGGAAACCUCACCAGGCCCAGACACCGGAAGGAUUGACAGAUUGAUAGCUCUUUCUUGAUUCGGUGGGUGGUGGUGCAUGGCCGUUCUUAGUUGGUGGAGCGAUUUGUCUGGUUAAUUCCGAUAACGAACGAGACUCUAGCCUGCUAAAUAGGCGUACCUUAUGGUAUCGCGAAGGCCCCCGGCUUCGGCCGGUGGGUUUUUACUACCAACGUACAAACAAAUCUUCUUAGAGGGACAGGCGG